rnacentral:rRNA from 1 species
AUUCGAUUAGAGUUUGAUCAUGGCUCAGGACGAACGCUGGCGGCGUGCUUAACACAUGCAAGUCGAACGGAAAGGCCCUGCUUUUGUGGGGUGCUCGAGUGGCGAACGGGUGAGUAACACGUGAGUAACCUGCCCUUGACUUUGGGAUAACUUCAGGAAACUGGGGCUAAUACCGGAUAGGAGCUCCUGCUGCAUGGUGGGGGUUGGAAAGUUUCGGCGGUUGGGGAUGGACUCGCGGCUUAUCAGCUUGUUGGUGGGGUAGUGGCUUACCAAGGCUUUGACGGGUAGCCGGCCUGAGAGGGUGACCGGCCACAUUGGGACUGAGAUACGGCCCAGACUCCUACGGGAGGCAGCAGUGGGGAAUAUUGCACAAUGGGCGGAAGCCUGAUGCAGCAACGCCGCGUGCGGGAUGACGGCCUUCGGGUUGUAAACCGCUUUCGCCUGUGACGAAGCGUGAGUGACGGUAAUGGGUAAAGAAGCACCGGCUAACUACGUGCCAGCAGCCGCGGUGAUACGUAGGGUGCGAGCGUUGUCCGGAUUUAUUGGGCGUAAAGGGCUCGUAGGUGGUUGAUCGCGUCGGAAGUGUAAUCUUGGGGCUUAACCCUGAGCGUGCUUUCGAUACGGGUUGACUUGAGGAAGGUAGGGGAGAAUGGAAUUCCUGGUGGAGCGGUGGAAUGCGCAGAUAUCAGGAGGAACACCAGUGGCGAAGGCGGUUCUCUGGGCCUUUCCUGACGCUGAGGAGCGAAAGCGUGGGGAGCGAACAGGCUUAGAUACCCUGGUAGUCCACGCUGUAAACGGUGGGUACUAGGUGUGGGGUCCAUUCCACGGGUUCCGUGCCGUAGCUAACGCUUUAAGUACCCCGCCUGGGGAGUACGGCCGCAAGGCUAAAACUCAAAGGAAUUGACGGGGCCCCGCACAAGCGGCGGAGCAUGCGGAUUAAUUCGAUGCAACGCGUAGAACCUUACCUGGGUUUGACAUGGAUCGGGAGUGCUCAGAGAUGGGUGUGCCUCUUUUGGGGUCGGUUCACAGGUGGUGCAUGGCUGUCGUCAGCUCGUGUCGUGAGAUGUUGGGUUAAGUCCCGCAACGGGCGCAACCCUUGUUCACUGUUGCCAGCACGUUAUGGUGGGGACUCAGUGGAGACCGCCGGGGUCAACU